AAGUUCUCGUACGGUGGUUUGCGUGGUAAUUGUACUCGAGAUUUCGGAACAGUGAAGCGAGACAAGACAGGUUCAGGAGAGGAGGGAGUCAGGACAGGCAGGGAGGCUCGGUUCGCGAGCAGCUGUGGUAAGGGGUGGACGUGCUUGCUCUUCUGUGGCUCACUUUCUCUAUCUUGUUUUAAUUUCUAUACUUUGCUUUCUAUUUUUUUUCUACCGAUCCUUAUUUUUCCAUUUUACUAGUUUCUUCCUCAUUGUAUUACCUCCGCUUCGUCCUCCCCCCACACCCGUCACGGCCACGCGCUCCUCAACACAACCCUGCUGUCGUCCCCAAACAGUCUGAUGUAUGUCAAACAAGUGAGAGAAUGAAAAGUGAUACUCCUUCCUCCACUUCUUCACGGACCUCCCAUAGCAACAAGGACAAGACUGCCUGCCCUCUGACACGUCGUCUUGGUGGUGUCCUCCAUUUCUAAGUUAUUCGUCCGGAUCCCUAGCGAGGCGUCGUCUGUCCCUUCAAGCGUUUCUGCGCCAUCUCGUUGUUGUUGUUUGGCAGAUCCGGUUCUUCAUCUCGAAAUGGUGUGGGUAAUUCGUGAUGGCCGGCUACCGCUCUGGUGCUAGAUGUCCACAGUUGCAACACUUGCUUGUCUUCCAGCAACAUUGCUGAGUUCUCACCCGCUGAAUGCCACGUGCCUUCGCCCUCCCAGAGUUUUCGUACUAAAGACAUCGCCGGGCGUUCGUGGGCUAUCCCCAUCCUUGCGUCCUCGGUGCUUACAACCACCCCGUAGGGUUGGAGACACGAGAUGGCAUCUGGGAAGCGAGAGAGCAGCGAAUAACUGAACUCGAGAGGAGAAUUUUGUGAGUAAUUAAUUACUACUGUAAAUUACGCACGAAAUAAAAAACUCUACUACACCUCA